rnacentral:rRNA from 1 species
UACGGGGGGGGCAAGCGUUGUUCGGAAUUACUGGGCGUAAAGGGUUUGUAGGUGGUCUGAUAAGUCAGACGUGAAAUCCCUCAGCUUAGCUGGGGAACUGCGUCUGAGACUGAUGGACUUGAGGGCAGGAGAGGAACGCGGAAUUCCAGGUGUAGCGGUGAAAUGCGUAGAUAUCUGGAGGAACACCGGUGGCGAAGGCGGCGUUCUGGACUGUUUCUGACACUGUAAAACGAAAGCCAGGGGAGCAAACGGG